CCACUUCUUUUCUUUUCUUCCUCCGGCUCCAUCUUUCCCCUCUUGACCUAAUCGAUUUCGAUCUCUUUUUUACAUCUUUCCCCUCCCGACCUAAUCGAUUUCGAUCUUUUUUUUUUUUUCGUUGUUCUAGCUGUGUAUUUUUCCUUCUUGAAGUGGUCUGCCUGCGGAGCGUGAUGAUGUUGUAAUGUCGCCCCAGUCUUACGACCCGUUCAUCUUGGGACUGGCGAUGCUCACCUCCUCAUCUGAAGCCCGAAGAGAAGAACAAGAGAAAAGAAAAAAAAAAAAGAGAGAAAAGAAAGGGAAAGAGAUGUGUGUCGGCUGGUUGGGUGGUGGCUUGGUCAGGAUCUAUCAAUUGACACCACUCCUACUAUUAUUCUUUAAAACUCUUGUGCAUAUUCCUUCAAAAUGUAUUAAUCUUCACAUAAAUCAACUUGAAUUCUCUGCAUUAUUUCUUCAUUUUGUGUCAAGAAAUAAAUGAAUUGGGUUCAAACCUUGAGUGCUGCUUAAAUAUUUUAAAGAAUCCUAUGAUUUGAUGAA